AUUGAACGCUGGCGGCAUGCCUAACACAUGCAAGUCGAGCGAGCGGCGGACUGGCGAAUAAUGUAUUGGGAUCUGCCUGAUAUAGGGGGAUAACUACUGGAAACGUUGGCUAAUACCGCAUACUAUCGUUUGAACCCAUAGGGGAUUAGCUAGUGGGUGUGGUAAAGGCGCACCUAGGCGACGCUCCCUAGCUGGUCUGAGAGGAUGAUCAGCCACACUGGGACUGAGACACGGCCCAGACUCCUACGGGAGGCAGCAGUGGGGAAUAUUGGACAAUGGGCGAAAGCCUGACGCAGCAAUGCCGCGUGAAUGAAGAAGGCCUUCGGGUUGUAAAGUUCUGUCGGUAGCGAGGCGUUAACUACAGAAGAAGCACCGGCUAACUACGUGCCAGCAGCCGCGGUAAUAC
rnacentral:rRNA from 1 species